GGCACUGUGGUUAAGCAUUUGGCUGCUAACCAAGAGGUUGGUGGUUCGAAUCCACCAGCUGCUA
rnacentral:tRNA from 1 species